UUAAGCGACUAAGCGUACACGGUGGAUGCCCUGGCAGUCAGAGGCGAUGAAGGACGUGCUAAUCUGCGAAAAGCGUCGGUAAGGUGAUAUGAACCGUUAUAACCGGCGAUGUCCGAAUGGGGAAACCCAGUGCAAUUCGUUGCACUAUCGUUAACUGAAUACAUAGGUUAACGAGGCGAACCGGGGGAACUGAAACAUCUAAGUACCCCGAGGAAAAGAAAUCAACCGAGAUUCCCCCAGUAGCGGCGAGCGAACGGGGAGCAGCCCAGAGUCUGAAUCAGCUUGUGUGUUAGUGGAACGGUCUGGAAAGUCCGACGGUACAGGGUGAUAGUCCCGUACACCAAAAUGCACAGGCUGUGAACUCGAAGAGUAGGGCGGGACACGUGGUAUCCUGUCUGAAUAUGGGGGGACCAUCCUCCAAGGCUAAAUACUCCUGACUGACCGAUAGUGAACCAGUACCGUGAGGGAAAGGCGAAAAGAACCCCGGCGAGGGGAGUGAAAAAGAACCUGAAACCGUGUACGUACAAGCAGUGGGAGCACCUUCGGGUGUGACUGCGUACCUUUUGUAUAAUGGGUCAGCGACUUAUAUUCUGUAGCAAGGUUAACCGUAUAGGGGAGCCGCAGGGAAACCGAGUCUUAACUGGGCGUUAAGUUGCAGGGUAUAGACCCGAAACCCGGUGAUCUAGCCAUGGGCAGGUUGAAGGUUGGGUAACACUAACUGGAGGACCGAACCGACUAAUGUUGAAAAAUUAGCGGAUGACUUGUGGCUGGGGGUGAAAGGCCAAUCAAACCGGGAGAUAGCUGGUUCUCCCCGAAAGCUAUUUAGGUAGCGCCUCGUGAAUUCAUCUUCGGGGGUAGAGCACUGUUUCGGCUAGGGGGUCAUCCCGACUUACCAACCCGAUGCAAACUACGAAUACCGAAGAAUGUUAUCACGGGAGACACACGGCGGGUGCUAACGUCCGUCGUGAAGAGGGAAACAACCCAGACCGCCAGCUAAGGUCCCAAAGUCAUGGUUAAGUGGGAAACGAUGUGGGAAGGCACAGACAGCCAGGAUGUUGGCUUAGAAGCAGCCAUCAUUUAAAGAAAGCGUAAUAGCUCACUGGUCGAGUCGGCCUGCGCGGAAGAUGUAACGGGGCUAAACCAUGCACCGAAGCUGCGGCAGCGACACUAUGUGUUGUUGGGUAGGGGAGCGUUCUGUAAGCCUGCGAAGGUGACCUGUGAGGGUUGCUGGAGGUAUCAGAAGUGCGAAUGCUGACAUAAGUAACGAUAAAGCGGGUGAAAAGCCCGCUCGCCGGAAGACCAAGGGUUCCUGUCCAACGUUAAUCGGGGCAGGGUGAGUCGACCCCUAAGGCGAGGCCGAAAGGCGUAGUCGAUGGGAAACAGGUUAAUAUUCCUGUACUUGGUGUUACUGCGAAGGGGGGACGGAGAAGGCUAUGUUAGCCGGGCGACGGUUGUCCCGGUUUAAGCAUGUAGGCUGAUUGUCCAGGCAAAUCCGGAUAAUCAAGGCUGAGGUGUGAUGACGAGGCACUACGGUGCUGAAGUAACAAAUGCCCUGCUUCCAGGAAAAGCCUCUAAGCAUCAGGUAACAUUAAAUCGUACCCCAAACCGACACAGGUGGUCAGGUAGAGAAUACCAAGGCGCUUGAGAGAACUCGGGUGAAGGAACUAGGCAAAAUGGUGCCGUAACUUCGGGAGAAGGCACGCUGGUGUGUAGGUGAAGUCCCUGCGGAUGGAGCUGAGACCAGUCGAAGAUACCAGCUGGCUGCAACUGUUUAUUAAAAACACAGCACUGUGCAAACACGAAAGUGGACGUAUACGGUGUGACGCCUGCCCGGUGCCGGAAGGUUAAUUGAUGGGGUUAUCCGUAAGGAGAAGCUCUUGAUCGAAGCCCCGGUAAACGGCGGCCGUAACUAUAACGGUCCUAAGGUAGCGAAAUUCCUUGUCGGGUAAGUUCCGACCUGCACGAAUGGCGUAAUGAUGGCCAGGCUGUCUCCACCCGAGACUCAGUGAAAUUGAACUCGCUGUGAAGAUGCAGUGUACCCGCGGCAAGACGGAAAGACCCCGUGAACCUUUACUAUAGCUUGACACUGAACAUUGAGCCUUGAUGUGUAGGAUAGGUGGGAGGCUUUGAAGCGUGGACGCCAGUCUGCGUGGAGCCAACCUUGAAAUACCACCCUUUAAUGUUUGAUGUUCUAACGUUGGCCCCUGACCGGGGUUGCGGACAGUGUCUGGUGGGUAGUUUGACUGGGGCGGUCUCCUCCCAAAGCGUAACGGAGGAGCACGAAGGUUAGCUAAUCCUGGUCGGACAUCAGGAGGUUAGUGCAAUGGCAUAAGCUAGCUUGACUGCGAGCGUGACGGCGCGAGCAGGUGCGAAAGCAGGUCAUAGUGAUCCGGUGGUUCUGAAUGGAAGGGCCAUCGCUCAACGGAUAAAAGGUACUCCGGGGAUAACAGGCUGAUACCGCCCAAGAGUUCAUAUCGACGGCGGUGUUUGGCACCUCGAUGUCGGCUCAUCACAUCCUGGGGCUGAAGUAGGUCCCAAGGGUAUGGCUGUUCGCCAUUUAAAGUGGUACGCGAGCUGGGUUUAGAACGUCGUGAGACAGUUCGGUCCCUAUCUGCCGUGGGCGCUGGAGAAUUGAGGGGGGCUGCUCCUAGUACGAGAGGACCGGAGUGGACGCAUCACUGGUGUUCGGGUUGUCAUGCCAAUGGCACUGCCCGGUAGCUAAAUGCGGAAGAGAUAAGUGCUGAAAGCAUCUAAGCACGAAACUUGCCCCGAGAUGAGUUCUCCCUGAGACUUUAAGUCUCCUGAAGGAACGUU
rnacentral:rRNA from 1 species